rnacentral:rRNA from 1 species
GUGGCAUAUAGCUCAGUAACACGUGGCCAAACUACCCUACAGACCGCGAUAACCUCGGGAAACUGAGGCCAAUAGCGGAUAUAACUCUCAUGCUGGAGUGCCGAGAGUUAGAAACGUUCCGGCGCUGUAGGAUGUGGCUGCGGCCGAUUAGGUAGAUGGUGGGGUAACGGCCCACCAUGCCGAUAAUCGGUACGGGUUGUGAGAGCAAGAACCCGGAGACGGUAUCUGAGACAAGAUACCGGGCCCUACGGGGCGCAGCAGGCGCGAAACCUUUACACUGCACGACAGUGCGAUAGGGGGACUCCGAGUGUGAGGGCAUAUAGCCCUCGCUUUUCUGUACCGUAAGGUGGUACAGGAACAAGGACUGGGCAAGACCGGUGCCAGCCGCCGCGGUAAUACCGGCAGUCCAAGUGAUGGCCGAUAUUAUUGGGCCUAAAGCGUCCGUAGCCGGCCGGACAAGUCCGUUGGGAAAUCGACGCGCUCAACGCGUCGGCGUCCAGCGGAAACUGUCCGGCUUGGGGCCGGAAGACCUGAGGGGUACGUCCGGGGUAGGAGUGAAAUCCUGUAAUCCUGGACGGACCACCAAUGGGGAAACCACCUCAGGAAGACGGACCCGACGGUGAGGGACGAAAGCUAGGGUCUCGAACCGGAUUAGAUACCCGGGUAGUCCUAGC